rnacentral:rRNA from 1 species
UACGUAGGUGACCAGCGUUGUCCGGAUUUACUGGGCGUAAAGAGCGCGCAGGCGGUCGUUCAAGUCGAGUGUGAAAGCCCCCGGCUCAACUGGGGAGGGUCACUCGAUACUGAUCGACUUGAAGGCAGGAGAGGGAAGCGGAAUUCCCGGUGUAGUGGUGAAAUGCGUAGAUAUCGGGAGGAACACCAGUGGCGAAGGCGACUACCUGGCCUGUUCUUGACGCUGAGGCGCGAAAGCUAGGGGAGCAAACGGG